GCCAUUUGUCUUGGUGGCAUGUCCACCACCCAGAGGAAGCCCCGUACAUCACAAAGCCGGCUUCGUCCUCACACUGUUUACAGGACCCUCGUGAUACGUGCUUCUCGUCUCCUUAAACGUGCGUCUGCCUGGAAGGACAUACUGAGUGAAACGUGCCUCUUCAGUCAACGGCAACUCAAUUAACAUCAACCAGGACGCUUUUCUCCGUUCCCUUCCAUUCCAGAGUAUUAAUGGAUACCCACCAGGAGCUUGUCUUCUAACGGAGAGUGAAAAGGACUUUGCACGGUGUCUCAUGCUUAGAAGCGGUUCUAUAAACUUCUGGGGAUUCCAUGCAAGAGGAAAUGGCGUCAAAGACAUGAGAUAAAAGGACUCAUGCAAGAAAGAACUGGCUGAGGACAUAUUUAAAACAAAAGGGAACACUUCUCUCAGACUCAUCAAGAUAUAUACAUGGAACACGUUCAGCUUUGCCGCACGCCCCUCAAACCUCAAUAAAUGCAUUGAAACAGAGGGGCGCCAUUGCUGUAAGGACACUCAUUGGCGAAUGCUGCAUUUUAUUUCAAUUCUAGUCGGCAACCCCCAAUCCCACCAUGGCAUAACUCCAUUACAGAAAAGAAAACAAAUAAAUUCAGCAGGAUGACAAGGAACACUAUCAGGGGCCAAAAGGAACAGAGGGAAGGAACUGGCCCAAACCGUUUUGUAUUCUUCAGUUCUCUUUCAUUUACUCCUUUUUGCAGGCCACUUUCCUUCUAAUGAAACGAGUGGAGAUCCUCCCUGCAUUUCCCGUCUGUUGUUAUUUAUCUAGAUGGGUGGUAAGUGCAUUGGGUAGAGGUCACGUCUACACUCUCCAAGCCUUUCCAAAAUAUUUACACUAUCGGUGGGGCCGAUCCUUGCUCACAAACCUGACCCACCAGAGAAAAGAAUGCAGAGUCUGUAGGAACCAACCAGCCUCCACUUGUGCUCAGGUUAAACUUUCCAUCCCGAUGCCAGACCACAAACAGCCGAGCGCCCCAGAAGUUUCCUGGAAAUUGGGCAACACUGAGAUGACCUUAAAUCAGUGUUGCCUUGGAGAUGGCUGCAGUGUGUUGGAAUCAGCUCCGGGGCCGCGUGUCUGUCCCCGCUGACCUUGCCAAAGGGAAGGGCGAGGUCAGGAGGCCUUGGAAGAACCAAUUCUGUGUGGCAUAUUGGUUUGGGAAAAUAUGUUUACACAUUAAACCUCUUCAUCUUUGGGUGUCUCCAUUUGCCAACUACAUGAUCUCCUCUUUUGAAUCACGGCAUCGUCUCUUUGGUUCUCGGAGAAGGCUUAUAUUAUGCGUGAUGGCAAGGGCGGUUGUGAUUAAAAAGUUAAGGUGUUGGACAGACCCAAGUCUCUGUAUCUUUGAGUUAGCUGUUAGCAAGGUGAUCAAACGCCAAAGAGAGAAUUUGGUUUGCCUUUCUUUCGUGCCAACCCAAGGCUCAUGUCCUCCUCUUUUUGGUCCUUCCACACCAUUAAAACAAGACUGGGUCUCAGCACAAAGACACUGCACUUGAAUCUGAAGCUUUACUUCCAUCACUGCUGCAUCAGAUGAAACCUUAGAAAUCUCAGAGACCUUAGAAAUCUGUAACCUGGCAUCUAAGAUCCUUGUUACUUAUUCUUAAGGAACAAAGAACCUGCCGUUGCAUAGGUGGUAAAGAACACCCAAACUCCUCAAACAUCAUUUUUACUCUAAGGGAAACACUUGUCAGACUCCAGUUGUUUCAGAUAGGAUUCCUGAAAAAGACAUUUCUUUCAUUCUUCUCUCCCUACAGGCAUAAACAUUCUGCAUUUUACACUUGAGACAUACAAUGUUAUCUACUUCUGGUGUCUUAUGUAACUUUUUAGGAAUGCUAGGAGACUUUCCGGGCUCUGUGAGGUUGGGAAUGGGGAAUGGAGAGAAAGGCGUUGGAGGUAUGGAGGGGGGUGGGGUGGAGAAUGGGGAGGAGAAGAAAAAUCCACUGUUUCCAUACAUCAACUGAGUUGGCUGUUUGUGACAAGAAGUUAUUGCAAUUAAGAUACAAGCCGGAUGUGUGGGCUAAACAAUUUCAGCUGAUAUCACAGGCAUUUAUUGAUAAUGAAAACUCAGAGGAAGGGAGCUGGAAAAUGGUUGUCUUUAGCGGUUUCCUAGGCAAAAGGACAAACCAUAUGGGUUAAUCAAAAAUUACCGCAUCUUAUCUAGGAGAAGAGAAAACUGUUUAUUUUACUGCAAAAGGAAUGUUUCUGUCAAGUUUUAACGUCAACCUUUUGGGUUAGGGCUUUACAUUGUACACUCUACCACACAGGCACAUUGUUUUGCUUCAAACAAUCAUUUUGGAGUUGCCGGAUGACCUGGCAAAUGGCCCCAGCUAUAAGAAUAAGGGAUAAACAUUCAGAGGAGAUCACAUCCAGAAUACUUUGAUUGUGUGGGCCACCUGAACCCGAUUAAACCUGAA